rnacentral:rRNA from 1 species
CCCGCUGAACUUAAGCAUAUCAAUAAGCGGAGGAAAAGAAACCAACAGGGAUUGCCUUAGUAACUGCGAGUGAAGCGGCAAAAGCUCAAAUUUGAAAUCUGGUACCAUUCGGUGCUCGAGUUGUAAUUUGGAGAGGCAACUUCGGAGAGGGCGUUGGCCUAAGUUCCUUGGAACAGGACGUCACAGAGGGUGAGAAUCCCGUGCUUGGCUGACUGUCCCUCUUCAUGUGAAGUGUCUUCGACGAGUCGAGUUGUUUGGGAAUGCAGCUCAAAAUGGGUGGUAAACUCCAUCUAAGGCUAAAUAUUGGCGAGAGGCCGAUAGCGAACAAGUACCGUGAGGGAAAGAUGAAAAGAACUUUGGAAAGAGAGUUAAACAGUACGUGAAAUUGUUGAAAGGGAAACGCUUGAAGUCAGUCACGUUGGCUGGAGAUCAACCUUGCUUCUGCUUGGUGCAUUUUCCAGUUGAUGGGCCAGCAUCAAUUUUGAUCAGUGGAUAAAGGUCAGGGGAAUGUGGCAUCUCUGGAUGUGUUAUAGCCCUUGGUUGUAUACAUUGGUUGGGAUUGAGGAACUCAGCAUGCCGCAAGGCCAGGUUUUUUUUAAACCAUGUUCAUGCUUAGGAUGCUGGCAUAAUGGCUUUAAUCGACCCGUCUUGAAACACGG